rnacentral:lncRNA from 1 species
ACAAGGAUACAAAUGAUCAAGAUGCUGGGUUGCCAGCUUAAGCACUCCCUCUGCUCACGGUACUAACAAGCUUGAGCUAACUCUACUAAUUGAUUUUCACAAAACUCUACUAACCAGUUUGCCGUGGCUGCGACCCCGCCAGCACCUACCGAAACCCCACACAACGUAGGUGCGUCUCCGGCGGAGUAGACGGAAGCUCGAUGACCAAAGCUUGCAGCUCCCGCUCCGCGAGCCGCCUCGCCCGCGCGGCAGCCGCCGCAGGCCACCGCCCCUGUGCGGCCGUUGCCGACACCGCCGCAGGCCAUCGCCUGCGCGCGGUCGCUGUGGACCGCCGCCGACGUCGCAGGCAACCUCGCCCCCGUGCUGCUGCUGCAGGCCACACGCCCGCGCGUGGCCUUCGCCGCCGCGGGCAACUCGCCCUUGCCCAACUCAGCCCAAAUCCGGGCUAGAGCAGCCCGAAUCGGAGGAUUCCGCCACCGCCGCGCCCUCCUAGCUCCCGCACGGGCAUCCGGUGGGCCAGCUCCGACGACAUCGAGAUGGGAGGGGGAAGGAGAAGGGGUGGCAGCGCUAGGGUUUCCGAUGGGGAACGAUGGCUUGGGGGAGAGGGAGGGAAGAUGCGCGGGAGGAGGCCUCGCCGCCACCGUCCUUGCGCCCGCGUGGGCUUCCGGCGGUGCGCUCCGGUGGCGGCGAGAUGGAGGAACGGGGGCGGAGGAGCUGAGGGGCGCGCGGCGGUGGUCCACCUGGGUCGCCCUGUGGGGAUGACGCGCUCGAAAGGGAGGGAAGGACGAACCUGAAUCAAGAGCUGAGCUAGCCCCGGGGGUGCAACACCACCGACGGAGCCGGGCUCAGCGAGCCAUGGGAUACCGGACUCCUCGUCAUCGCGCGCCCGGACUACGCAUCACAUCGCGCGGACGGUCUCGGGGCCUCCACUCUCCAGCCGGUGGGACUCCAAAAUCAUGCGACUCUCAUGACUCCGACCCAUACCCCGGCACGACUACAAGCAGCACUGCAGCAGUGUUCCGAUUGGGCUGUGACCUCUGGCCUGUACUCCAUACGAGCAUAGCGCAAUGAUCACUUGAUCAGUGAUCGGCGUGGGGAGUGCCCACUGGGGGAGAGGAGAUCGCGUUGUUUGAUCGGUCAGUGGCAUCGAUCGGGUCCGGGCUGUAGCAGCAGCACGCAGCCUCCAAAUAAUUCCCCAUGGGCCGCCGCUGGCCUCUGGCCGUGGCCUUUUCGUGCCAACUAGAUCCAGUUCACGUGCCGGGAGAGAACGAGAGGAUCCCGCCGGUGCCGGCGACUGUUUGGGUCGCGGAUACGAGAGAUCUGGAGGCUUUUCUUUUUCUCUUUACGAGGACAACAAAAGAUGGAGGCGGACGAAUUGGCCGCUCGAUGCCCUCAUGGAGUGGAUCCUGUUGAUCCGGAGAGGAAUAUUGUGCUAUGUCCCAGUAGGGCCCGCUGCUGUAAUCAGUGACCCUAAUUCUGGAGCUGCGAUUAGUGGUAGGUUUGUACUGACGCGCGUGUACAAAUUUGUUCCCGUGCUUCGGUUUCUCCGCAUGCUUUAGUUUGGUUUGUUGUGCGUAAGAGUUUUGUAGCCGCGUGAUUUCGUGUUUAGUGAAUUGACAGGCACGUUUUGUAGAAUACUGUAUUUUUAUGUGUACAAUAAUUAA